UACAGAGACUGCAAGCGUUAUUCGGAUUCACUGGGCGUAAAGGGUGCGCAGGCGGCCAAGUGUGUGAGGCGUGAAAGCCCGGGGCUUAACUCCGGAAUUGCACCUCAAACUACAUGGCUAGAGCAUUGGAGAGGGUAGCAGAAUUCACGGUGUAGCAGUGAAAUGCGUAGAUAUCUGGAGGAACACCGGUGGCGAAGGCGGCAUCCUGGACCAACACUGACACUGAGGAGCGAAAGCCAGGGGAGCAAACGGG
rnacentral:rRNA from 1 species